GGUGGGAGAGAGAAAGAAACCUUUCACGUUUUGGUGGUGGGGUUUUUUUAAAAUUAAUUUCACACACGGGAGCUUUUUUCGCGCUGUAUAAUUUAAACAGCUGGCCACGAAAGGGCGAUUCUGCAGUGUUAACGCCGUUUUACCAAAUGCAGAAAUACGGGAGGGUGGGGUUCAGGCCGAGUUGAACGCAAAAUGUGAGUUAAUACCUCGGUAAACGACACAAAAACGACGCUAAACCGGCUUGAAUCUGACAUAUGAGGUUAAAAUAUCCCACCAGAAUGCGCCUCGUGGAACUCUGGGUGCUGUUUCCAUUGAUAAGACCCACAAUUUUUUUCUAUCGCAAAAUCACAUCCCCCCACCCAUCACAUCCCUCCCUCUUCGACUCAUCACCUCACGCCAUAAGCUGCGGAGUUUCCCGGGAUCGUCCUCGCGUCCUGGCGCAUUCACGAGAGGCCUCCACUCCUCGCUCGACAUCUUCGGGAACGCUGCUGCUAUUAAACCGGCUUGGAGUCGGGAUUAGCGGCGUAAGGCACUACCACGAGAGUGCAAGGUGCGUGACGUCAUUUAUGGACGGCCCCAAAGACAAUG